rnacentral:rRNA from 1 species
UACGAAGGGGGGCUAGCGUUGCUCGGAAUCACUGGGCGUAAAGCGCACGUAGGCGGGUUCUUAAGUCGGUGGUGAAAUCCUGGAGCUCAACUCCAGAACUGCCUCCGAUACUGAGAGCCUCGAGUCCGGGAGAGGUGAGUGGAACUGCGAGUGUAGAGGUGAAAUUCGUAGAUAUUCGCAAGAACACCAGUGGCGAAGGCGGCUCACUGGCCCGGUACUGACGCUGAGGUGCGAAAGCGUGGGGAGGCAAACAGG